rnacentral:rRNA from 1 species
CCUACGGGAGACAGCAGUGAGGAAUAUUGGUCAAUGGACGAGAGUCUGAACCAGCCAAGUAGCGUGAAGGAUGACUGUCCUACGGGUUGUAAACUUCUUUUAUAUGGGAAUAAAAUGUUCCACGUGUGGGAUUUUGUAGGUACCAUAUGAAUAAGGAUCGGCUAACUCCGUGCCAGCAGCCGCGGUAAUACGGAGGAUCCGAGCGUUAUCCGGAUUUAUUGGGUUUAAAGGGAUCGUAGGUGGAUUGUUAAGUCAGUUGUGAAAGUUUGCGGCUCAACCGUAAAAUUGCAGUUGAAACUGGCAGUCUUGAGUACAGUAGAGGUGGGCGGAAUUCGUGGUGUAGCGGUGAAAUGCUUAGAUAUCACGAAGAACUCCGAUUGCGAAGGCAGUUCACUGGACUGCAACUGACACUGAGGCUCGAAAGUGUGGGUAUCAAACAGGAUUAGAUACCCUUGUAGUC